rnacentral:lncRNA from 1 species
GUACUAUUGGAUAUCCAGCACCUCUUGGCUAUUCAGUCAGCUGAGAACAUGCACUUGGAUGCACAUUUCUGGCCAUGGCCGAUUGGAACAGUACUGGGAUACAAGGUAUUCUUCACUAUAGUACUGUAAACUUCUCAGACAAGUGGGAUUUAACUACACCACCUAACCGGUAUAAAUUUCACUCACCAAAAAAAGAAAAAAAAAAGAAAAAAGAAACUGAAAUAAGAUACCUGGACUGCUAUGCACUGAUAACAGGCACUGGAGAUUUUUGGAAACAAGCAAAAAAUAAAAGGACCCCCCAGUUCAUUGUAUUCUGCAAAGAAGAUGCCCUUCACCCUCUCCUGAGAGAGCCAUCCUGGUGUCAGGGACAAGACAGAUGAAUCUGGAUGGACUUAGCAAAUGUGGGCUACAGGAACAACAGUGA